ACUCUCAGCGCUCCCCUCUUGAAUAUCUCCUCCCGGCUGUUUUCCUCUGUGGUAGGAAGGCAAAGUGCCCUCAUUCUUCCUGGGCUAUGCUCAGCACCAGACAGGGAUAAACACUGUGUGGAUCUCCCUGGGACACUGGGCUGAUGGCAGGGUGAGAAACCUCAGUGCCCUGUUAGUCAUCCUUGAGCAAAAGCAACUGGCACACCUGAAAGGAUGGAAAUCAAGGAAGAACAUCACAAGGAGGCUGGAGACAGUCCAUGGUUGCCCAGAGGUCACCCCACUGGGAAGAAGUCAGUCUUAAAGGAUGCCCAGAGAGAGAUAUUGAGCUGAUCUUAAAAUACCGUUCUGCUGGGUCUGGUGUACUGUACAGAGUCAUCUCCUUCACAUCUGCUGAAAGCUCCAACUCCACUGGAAAAAAACCCAGAAGAAAUGGACAAGAGAAAAGUGUUUUUUACUUAUUGCAUGCUGCUUUUGGGUUGGGUUGGGUUUUCUUAGUUCUUACAGGGUGGUACAUGGACAGUUAGAAAGAAACUAGCCCCUAGAGAAAGAGAAGCAGAACACCAGGGUAUCCUGAAGAAAGUCACAACAGAUUCCUCAACUAGCUGUGCAGGUGAGUCGUGAACCAUGUUGACAAUGAACAAUUAGAUGUGACUUCCAUUCAGUGCAAAGCUUUCUUUCCAAAGUGAGGAACCCCUAUAUGAUACAUCUGUGUGCUUCAAAGCAUGAUUUGGCUUUACGACUUAAUUCAAUUUUAGACUAAUGAAAUUAGUCUAAAAAUAAAAAUAUAAUAGUUAUGAAACCAUUUAAUAAAUAGUUUCAUAAUGCCAGUGGAAUGAGGUAAACAGAAACUUGACGGCGGCAACAUUCAGUUAAUGAAAUUUUUUGAAAUUGGGAACAUUUCUUUUGAAAUUGAAUGGUUGUUAGGCAUUCUGGGCCUGUUUAGAAUGAUUGUAUUUAGUUAUUGAAGUCUGAAAUUGAAAAGCAAUUUCAUAGAUGUGUGUUUGUCCUAAACUACUACUUCUGCAUUUCUAAGGGCUCUUGAUAUGCUAGUUUGUGGAACACUCCCUUAUUUUAGUGGUUUGACAACCUGCAAAAGAUUGAUGACUGCUAUUAACAUAGUGGAGAACAUACAAGUCACUUCUGUAUCUGACUGUGUUUCAGAACGGAAGACACAGCCAGUGCCAGAUCUCUUGUCUCCUGAAAUUUUGCCCCUCUUAGGAUGGCUAUUUUUGUUCUACUGUAAUAUUUAUCCCAUUUCUGAUUACAGUUCUUUGAAUGCUGCAAUGCCGAAGCCAAGCAUAGUGCAUGAGCUGAUCUAACAUGGACCAGGAACAAAAAGUCAGGAUGUAGCACUAGUUAAUCAUUUUUAAGUGCAAGGUUAAGUGUUAUGAGAUUAGGGAGGAAAAGAUCAGCAAAGCACUUCUAAUCAAUUUGAUUUCAGACAAGCCAAAAGUACUAAUUUAUAACCAGCUCCUGUGCAAUAAAAGAUGUUAAAACAACAUCAAAACCUGUUCUUUUGUGUGUUUUACCAGCCCUGGGUUCCUCCUACCGGUCCUGCUGGACUUCUCAGCUUCUUCUACUUCACUAUUUGUUUUCACUCACUCAGACUCAUGCAGUUUCACAUAGCUGCACAUGAUUAACACCACUGCCAUUUUUUACUUCUUCGUCAUCUCUUUAAUUUACUGCUAGACUUUUUGUUCUUUGAUCCAUUAAUUGGAUCCUUUCUUUAUUCUCAAUUUACAGUCCUAUUUUUUAGAAACACUGAACCUGGCCACUCUUCAUGCCCAG